UCCACGCUACAUACAUGAUACGUCUUACGCGGGUAUCCAACCUCACCUCAUGUUGCCCUAAUUUAGCCGUCAUCUCGUUCCUCGUCUUCGCUAUAAAUGCCCGUCCAGCACUCAAAGAGAAGAAACCACACCAUUGUUUCGGCGGCGGGGCAGAAAGCUUCGACUGGAGAUCGUCUCGGCGGACUUCCUCCUAUUCGAGCUAUUUGGUGAUUUUGUACAGUUUGGGCUUGGUAUAAAUCUAGUUGGGGGAUUAAUAUCACUUCUUUGAUGAUUUUUUUGGGGGCAAAUGUGGGUUUAGAGUAAUUGCCUAUGGACGAUCAAGUGCUUGAUACGAAGCAGGUACAUCAGCACAAAACAAUGUCAUAAGCUAAAGAGACCACAAUCCCUCUUGAAAGCAAUCAAUUUAGAGGAGAAUACACUUGGUAGCAUACAUUUUGACAAGCUGCUUGCUGCCCGUUGUUUUAUUAUUAUUUGCAGAGAAAAUUGCCUUUCCAAUGUACAUCAGCACAAAACAAUGUCAUAAGCUAAAGAGAUACCACAAUCCCUCCUUGCAAGCAAUCAAUUUAGAGGAGAAUACACUUGGUAGCAUACAUUUUGACAAGCUGCUUGCUGCCCUUUGUUUUUUUAUUAUUUGCAGAGAGUAUCACUAGUUGAGGAGGGUACACUAGUUGGCAUUCACUUUAAAGUUGCUGCUGCCUCUUUAUCUCUCAGCAACACGUGAAUGAUUGUACUGACUUUCGUUACUCUUUUAUAUAUAAAUUUCAUCUAUGUACUAGACUUGUGGUAUGAAUUUCUGACUGCAAAUUUUGAUCAGAACUUCA